rnacentral:rRNA from 1 species
UACGGAGGGUGCAAACGUUGCUCGGAAUCAUUGGGCGUAAAGCGCACGUAGGCGGUCUCGUAAGUCGGAUGUGAAAUCCCUGGGCUCAACCCAGGAACUGCGUCCGAUACUGGUUGGCUUGAAUCCGGGAGAGGGAUGUGGAAUUCCAGGUGUAGCGGUGAAAUGCGUAGAUAUCUGGAGGAACACCGGUGGCGAAGGCGACAUCCUGGACCGGUAUUGACGCUGAGGCGCGAAAGCCAGGGGAGCAAACGGG